UAAGGAAAUAAAAACAGCCAUGAAAAUCUCCAAACCAAAAGAAGUUUAGGGCCAGAUGGUUUUAGCUCCAAAUUCCUUUUCUUAUUAAUAAAAUUUAUUCUAUGUGUUUUCACAUCGUGUAUCUUGAUCCCAUUCAUUCCCUUUCCCUUCACAUAUACCCUCUGCACCUUCACUCCCCUCCCUGAAUAAAACAAAAUUCAAAUGAAAAAAUGAAGAAAAUAAUUUUGUUUUAAUGGAAGGAAUUAAAAAUCUCAUCAUGGAAGCUUCAGCGUUACCCAAAAUGUCAUGCCGUAUACUCCUUGGCUGGUAUAUGUCUACUUGCAAGUGUUCAUUACAAAGGAUCAUUGGUCUGAUUUGAUGCUGGGGCCUCCACUAGGACUCUUCCUGGACACCCACUGCCACUCCGUGUUUGGGUCCCUUCAUAUGCUCCUGCAGACCACUGAUGGUGUAGUUGUUGGUGCAGGCCAAGUCAUAAGCCUGCUACUGGGACUGGGCAGGUGUAGGGUUGGUCCACUGGAGCUGUUCUAUGCUCUCAAUUUUGGGGAUGGCUCACCAAUACUUCUACUAACAGAGCUGGAUGUAUUGUGCUGCCCUUGUGUUGUGCAGAGCCUGCUAUCCCAUAUCUGGGAAAUGCCUGGCCCUCUCUCAAUCACUAAGAAUAUGCCCCUCACUUGGUGUCAACUUGAUAUAAAAAUAUCUAGCACAGAGGGUAUAAAAGGCAAGGCCAGGUGGAUCUCUGUGUAUUUGUGACCAUCUGAAUCUAUGAAACAAAUACCAUGACAGCAGGAAAAAUUAUAAUGUGAAACCCAUCUUGAACACCCUCCCAAAGAAAGGAGUUGAAAGGAUCCUAGAUGGAGAAGUCAUUUGAAGCCACAUUCUUGAAGUAAAGCUUCAGUUACAAACAGUGUACUGGGAAAGUUGGGAGAGCCUGCUGAUAUCCAGAGUGAUUUGGCCACUAAAUCUCCUAUGUAGAUGGUGAGGAUGAGGUGGGGUUACUUGGUCUAGCAUGACCCAGGGUGCCUUUCCUCCCUUGUUAGAGAUAUAGAGCACCAGGGGAAGGAGAGAGGACCAAGAACUUCUAACUUCUGAGUAUGGUUCCUUCACACUGCUAGGCUCCAUGUUUUAAAAUUCCUCAAGAGCCACUCAGGAACCCAGAUCCCAUAGUACUCCACAGGUCCCAGUGCAACCAAGCCUCCAAGUGCAACCAGGCACUACAAGGAACCUAUGUCCUGUUGCACAUCCACGAAACCAGUGGAGCUAAGUCUUGUAAUGCAUCCAGCUCUCCCACAUUAACUGGCUCUCCAAGCACCAGGAAGCAGUUAAUGGAAGCAGGUCUUCAGGUGUCCUCAGGUUCUCAAGGAAGCCUUGUUGCCCAUGGUUCUACAUGUGCUCUCAUUCUCCCAGACUCUCCAGGGCUGCAAAGCAAAAGAGAGAAUCCCAUAUCAAUCAGCUGCUUGUGAAUCAUCUGCACAACCAGCUCCAGUCCAAGAUACAGACUCAACCCAGACUCGUACAUUCAGCACAGCUUCAACACCAGCUAAGAGGCUGCCAACAAAUCUAUUGGAAAACGAAAGGAGACUAAAUCAGCUAACACCAUUCCAGCCACAGAUGAUGUACAAGACUCCAUUGCCAUCUGGGUCCAGCUUUUUAAUCUAACAUAAAUGUGAAUUGGAUACCUGUCUGAAUCAAGUAUUCUAACCAAAGAUCUUUUACUUUUUUUCCUAAUUAUUUUUCAUUGUAUCUACCAACCCCAGUUCUCCCUCCUCCCCUUCUGUUUCCACUCUCCUGACUUCUCAAACCCACCCACUCCUCCAAGGGUAUAAGGCCUUCAUUGGGGAUUUGACAAUGCUGGAAUGCCAAGUUGAGGAAGAACCAAGCCCUCCCUCUUUGUAUCAAAGGUAAACAAGGUAAUCCACCACCAGGUUUGGGUUUCAAAAAGCCAGUUCCUGUACGUGGGAUUGGUACUGGGGCUACUUCCAGGGCCCCACACAGCAGACCAACCCAAAUAUCACCCACAUUCUGAGGGCCAAGUUUGGUACCAUGUAGCCAAUCAUACUAAUUUUUGGCACUUCUCACUGCUAGAUUUGUUCUAAGAACUCUUGGUCCUGAUGGUCCUGACAUUCCUGCUUUCAACUAACACAGUAUAAGGUUAACAGGCAGAUACCACCAUACACAGUUUUGUUUUCUUUGCUGAGAAAAAGUUUUACUCUAUGUUACUCAGCCUGGACUUGAAUGUUCAGGGAACAGGCUCCUUUCCUUCCCACAAGUCUGUUAUUGCAAUGUGUGUCUAAGAAUUUAGAUAUGAGAAUAUUAACUUUUCAGUGACUGUAUUUGUUGUUUUUAAUUUCUUUCAGAGACAACUGUUUAGUUUGUGUAUACUAACAAAUUUUGCAGAUAUUGGGAGAGAGCAUUUCUUUCUGUAGUUCAGGCAGGCCUAUGCAUUCUACAUAUUCUCCCUCUGUGUAGAUACAUGAGAUUCUCAGUGUGAACAAACACACCUCCCCCAUGAGCUUCUCUCCAUGGAUUACUGAAUUGUGUCAUUCAUACCUUAUCUUAUUUUAUCAUUUUGUUAUUUUAUAGGCACUCUUAAUUGCAUAUCAAUUCUCCCAUUCAAUUACCCUCCCAUACUCCCCUGUUCCCUCCCAAAAGCUCAACCCAACCCCCACCUCCUCUUCAGGGACACUGAGGACCUCCAAGGGAGACUGUCAAAGUCUGUCAUACCAUUUUCAUACCUUAUCUUUAAAUCAAUAAAUUGAUUUUAA
rnacentral:lncRNA from 1 species